rnacentral:lncRNA from 1 species
GUAUUAAAGCAGACUUCCCAGAGGAAAUACUGUGUGCCUGGUCAUUUGGCUGUGGAAAACAGACACGUCCUGCCCACGGGAGAAGGACAGAGAGCAUUCAAGUCUGACAACGCCCCACAUCCAAAGGCACAGUGACCAGGAGAAGAGAGACUGUGUUUUUGGGGUGUGGGAAAAAGGAAAAAGGAAGAAGUGACACCUUCAUCACCUUAGCCAGGAACAUGCCACACAUAUAGUGUCCAGCAGGACAUUUUCAGGGGAAAGUCUUAAAUUCUGUGAAAGGACAUACAAAAAUGCCACCACCUGGACCUUUCCCCCCCCCACUUCUCUGCAGAGUGACUCCACGUAGCCAGGACUCAUUUCAACCAGUAUUGCAUCUGAAGAACUGCAGAAUUUAUAAUUCCUCUGCAAAGGAAUGAAAAGCUACUUUCCAUUCUCUUUCCCAUGAUAUUUUGACUUGAGCUGUCCACACCCGGGUCCCUACUUCCAAAAACUGCAGAGGAGUUUUGUGGAAUGAAAGAGCAGGCUGCUUAUGGAAAACAGCUGAGACUCAAGUGUUCUUAAAUGGCCUGUUCCAAGGCUUCCUUCGGUUCCUUUCUGUAUCCCUUGUGGGAUCCACUUUUCCAAAUGUAAAAAAAGAAAUCUCAUUCGUUCAUCAAUGUCUUAGAAAUGUCUGGAGUUUUCUAAGUAUCAUGCUGGACUCUGCAGAUACAAGCAUGCUCACAGUAGACAUGGUCUCACAGCACAUAGAAGAAAAAGAUGCGAAUGGAUGCAUCAGCAGAGGCUGGCGGCUGUCAGGUCUUGUGGUCCUUGUGGCCUCAGCACGGGCUCAUAGUUCAUCUCCCCAACCAGGAGGAAACAGCUGUAAUAAAGGAACCAGCAGAAACCUGGAGGCUCAUGCCAGUUUGGAUGCUAAAUAACUUAGUCCCCAGGUUCCAUUCAGUAUUCCAAAGUCUAUUGUUUAGAAUCAACUUGUGCCACCCUGUCCCCCGUAACGUCCCAGACCAAAGUGCAUGGAGCCGCAGCUGUGCUGGGUGAGGGUCCCUCCUCCAACCAUUGCGGCAGAAGCACACACUUACCCACACUCCCCGUCACAUGGGGAGCCCCCCAGCUGCUACUCCAGAGGCUGCGCCCUCUCUCUGCUCAGCCCUCCGCAGUUUCUCAGACCUGGGCUGGGCUGAGGGUGGAGGGCUUCCUCCUUUCAUGUACUGUUCAUAAAUCGUUGCUGUUUCCCCCUUACAUUGUGGAAUGGAAU